UGUAAGAUUCCUAAAUCAUAAAACCAACUAGCAGAUGAGUCCUUCCAAAAUGUCACGUCUGUCGGAGCAGCGGCAUGGCAUGAGAAGACUGUGGACCCAAAUGCAGGCGCAGAGAUGAGGGGUGGAUGAUAACAGAAAGUUAGCCUUUAUUUCUGGCUGCGAAACACUGUAAACAGGAGGGUCUGAGAAAACUAACACAAACCUAGACUGGGGAAAACUAAGCAUAACACAUAAUCUGAGGAUGGAGACCAGAAGCAAGGAAUGAGAAACCAGGAAACACAAGCAAUGACGCACACCACACAGAAGAUUUCUCCGCUUCAACCCACUUCAGCCUCCACUUGGGUACACGCUCCCGGCGUCCUCCAACCUCACUACUAAGAUGCCAUGGUGAA